AGUUCGAUUAAGCCAUGCGAUUCAGGUGCAAGACCUCGGCCUACUGCUCAGUAACGCGUGGACAACCCUCUACCCUGCAGAGGGGGAUAACCCCGGGAAACUGGGGAUAAUACCCCAUAUACUAUGGAAGCUGGAAUGCUCUGUAGUUGAAAGGCCCGCCGCUGUAGGAUGGGUCUGCGGCCGAUUACGUUGAUGUUGGGGUAACGGCCCAACAAGCGUGUAGUCGGUACGGCUUGUGGGAGCAAGAGCCCGGAGAUGGAUUCUGACACACGAACCCAGGCCCUACGGGGAGCAGCAGGCGAGGAAACUUUGCAAUGCGGGAAACCAUGACUAGGGAACUCUGAAUGCGAGUAAAUCGGGCUGUCCAUCGGUUUAAAAAUCCGGUGAAGAAAGGGCCGGGCAAGACCGGUGCCAGCCGCCGCGGUAAUACCGGCGGCUCGAGUGGUGGCCACUAUUACUGGGCUUAAAGCGUUCGUAGCUGGUUUGUUAAGUCUCUGGGGAAAUCUUCCGGCUCAACCGGAAGGCGUCUCAGGGAUACUGGCAGACUAGGGACCGGGAGAGGUGAGAGGUACUCCAGGGGUAGGAGUGAAAUCCUGUAAUCCUUGGGGGACCACCUGUGGCGUAAGCGUCUCACCAGAACGGCUCCGACAGUGAGGGACGAAAGCUGGGGGAGCAAACCGGAUUCGAUACCCGGGUAGUCCCAGCCGUAAACGAUGUGGGUUAGGUUUUUCAGUGACCCCGAUUCACUGAGGUGCUGAAGAGAAAUUGUGAAACGUCCCGCCUGGGAAGUAGGUCGCAAGGCUGAAACUUAAAGGAAUUGGCGGGGGAGCACCACAACGAGGUGGAGCCUGCGGUUUAAUCGGACUCAACGCCGGGAAACUCACCAGUUAAGACAGCUGAAUGAUAGUCGGGCUGAAUCUGGC
rnacentral:rRNA from 1 species